AUACGUAUGGGGCGAGCGUUGUCCGGAAUGAUUGGGAGUAAAGGGUACGUAGGCGGUUAAUUAAGUCGAGGGUGAAAGGGUGGGGCUCAACCCCAUAAAGCAUUCGAAACUGGUUAACUUGAGAUGUGGAGAGGAAAGUGGAAUUCCUCGUGUAGCGGUGACAUGCGUAGAUAUUAGGAGGAAUACCAGUAGCAAAGGCGACUUUCUGGACACAUACUGCCGCUGAGGUACGAAAGCGUGGGGAGCAAACAGGAUUAGAUACCCUUGUAGUCCACGCCGUAAACGAUAAGCACUAAGUGUCGGAUGAAUUUUCGGCGCUGCAGUUAACACAAUAAGUGCUCCGCCUGGGGAGUACGGUCGCAAGACUGAAACUUAAAGGAAUUGACGGGU
rnacentral:rRNA from 1 species